rnacentral:rRNA from 1 species
UACGUAGGUGGCGAGCGUUGUCCGGAAUUACUGGGUGUAAAGGGCGUGUAGGCGGGGAAGCAAGUCAGAUGUGAAAUCCCGGGGCUCAACUCCGGAGUUGCAUCUGAAACUGUUUUUCUUGAGUGCUGGAGAGGAAAGCGGAAUUCCUAGUGUAGCGGUGAAAUGCGUAGAUAUUAGGAGGAACACCAGUGGCGAAGGCGGCUUUCUGGACGGCAACUGACGUUGAGGCUCGAAAGCGUGGGGAGCAAACAGGAUUAGAUACCCUGGUAGUCCCU